rnacentral:rRNA from 1 species
GACGAACGCUGGCGGCGUGCUUAACACAUGCAAGUCGAACGGAAAGGCCCUGCCUGUGCGGGGUGCUCGAGUGGCGAACGGGUGAGUAACACGUGAGUAACCUGCCCUUGACUUUGGGAUAACUUCAGGAAACUGGGGCUAAUCCCGGAUAUGAGCUCCUGCGGCAUGGUGGGGGUUGGAAAGUUUCGGCGGUUGGGGAUGGACUCGCGGCUUAUCAGCUUGGUGGUGGGGUAGUGGCUUACCAAGGCUUUGACGGGUAGCCGGCCUGAGAGGGUGACCGGACACAUUGGGACUGAGAUACGGCACAGACUCGUACGGGAGGCGGCAGUGGGGAAUGUUGCACAAUGGGCGGAAGGCUGAUGCAGCAACGCAGCGUGCGGGAUGACGGGCUUCGGGUUGUAAACCGAUUUCGCCUGUGACGAAGCGUGAGUGACGGUAAUGGGUAAAGAAGCACCGGCUAACUACGUG